AUUGAACGCUGGCGGCAUGCCUUACACAUGCAAGUCGAACGGUAACAGGUCUUCGGAUGCUGACGAGUGGCGAACGGGUGAGUAAUACAUCGGAACGUGCCUAGUAGUGGGGGAUAACUACUCGAUAGAUUGGCUAAUACCGCAUGAGAUCUACGGAUGAAAGCAGGGGAUCGCAAGACCUUGUGCUACUAGAGCGGCCGAUGGCAGAUUAGGUAGUUGGUGGGAGAAAAGCUUACAAAGCCGACGAUCUGUAGCUGGUCUGAGAGGACGAUCAGCCACACUGGGACUGAGACACGGCCCAGACUCCUACGGGAGGCAGCAGUGGGGGAUUUUGGACAAUGGGCGCAAUCCUGAUCCAGCAAUGCCGCGUGCAGGAUGAAGGCCUUCGGGUUGUAAACUGCUCUUGUACGGAACGAAAAGCCCCGGGUUAAUACCCUGGGGUCAUGACGGUACCGUAAGAAUAAGCACCGGCUAACUACGUGCCAGCCGCCGCAGUAA
rnacentral:rRNA from 1 species